rnacentral:rRNA from 1 species
AUUGAACGCUGGCGGCAUGCCUUACACAUGCAAGUCGAACGGUAACAGGUCUUCGGAUGCUGACGAGUGGCGAACGGGAGAGUAAUACAUCGGAACGUGCCUAGUAGUGGGGGAUAACUACUCGAAAGAGUGGCUAAUACCGCAUGAGAUCUACGGAUGAAAGCAGGGGAUCGCAAGACCUUGUGCUACUAGAGCGGAUGAUGGCAGAUUAGGUAGUUGGUGGGAUAAAAGCUUACCAAGCAGACGAUCUGUAGCUGGUCUGAGAGGACGAUCAGCCACACUGGGACUGAGACACGGCCCAGGCUCCUACGGGAGGCAGCAGUGGGGAAUUUUGGACAAUGGGCGCAAGCCUGAUCCAGCAAUGCCGCGUGCAGGAUGAAGGCCUUCGGGUUGUAAACUGCUUUUGUACGGAACGAAAAGCCCUGGGUUAAUACCCUGGGGUCAUGACGGUACCGUAAGAAUAAGCACUGGCUAACUACGUGCCAGCAGCCGCGGUAA